UUGUGAAAGAUUCUUCACCUUAAUUAUUUGUUUGUAAGAUGAUCUCUCUUCCUCUGUUUGUCUCUUUCUAGUCUUCAUGACUGUGGCAUUACAGAUGUUUCUUCUUUAGCUCGGUCUUUGAAAAACACAAAAGCUCUGCAGUUUCUAAAAGAGCUUGAUCUGAGAUUCAAUAAGAUUAGAUUCUCAAAGCAGAAGCUCAUUGAGGUGCUACGAGACUCAAACUGUAAACUGAGUGUAGAUGGAGCUUUUAAAUGCUAUAUGUCAUAAUGUGAAGUGGCCUUGAGAGGAGCAGUAAACAUCAGCUGAAGAUCCACAGAAGAGCUUCACUACUGUGUCUAUGAGGAGAAAUAAAUGUGUAAAUGUGAUCCAUACAGGUGAAGAGACUCAGACUUUACAAUGAAAUAAUGCAGCAUGUGUGUUAGAAACAUGAUAUUGAAUGAUUAAUGUUGCUUUAGUAUUCAAGCAGAUGAUCAUUGUGUUUAAUGUAAAGCUGGAACAGAGGAGGAAGAGGCUCAGAUGAGUCUGUCUGGCUCUUCAGUUUAAUAAUAUUUGUAUUAAACUCAUUCAUAAUGAUUCAAAUGUUUAAAUGUGAUUGUCAAGUGCAGCACUUAAAUCUAUCAAAACAUAUAAAGCAAAUCUACAAUGUGUGAAAUUGCCAUGUUACUUAAAACAUUUCCAUGAUCUCUCUUAUAUUUUCUACACAUUGUUAUUCUAUUUAAUUCUAUAUUAAGUUAGCUAUGUGUCUGUCUGUUGCUAACAAUCACAAAUGCUCUCAUUACAACAAACAAAGCAGAAACACAGUGUAAAUAAAAGCUGGAUUGUGCAGUUUUGACAGAUGAAUUGAUUAAAACGUGAG